AGCGAACGCUGGCGGCAGGCCUAACACAUGCAAGUCGAACGAACCCUUCGGGGUUAGUGGCGGACGGGUGAGUAACACGUGGGAACGUGCCUUUAGGUUCGGAAUAACUCAGGGAAACUUGUGCUAAUACCGAAUGUGCCCUUCGGGGGAAAGAUUUAUCGCCUUUAGAGCGGCCCGCGUCUGAUUAGCUAGUUGGUGAGGUAAUGGCUCACCAAGGCUACGAUCAGUAGCUGGUCUGAGAGGAUGACCAGCCACAUUGGGACUGAGACACGGCCCAAACUCCUGCGGGAGGCAGCAGUGGGGAAUCUUGCGCAAUGGGCGAAAGCCUGACGCAGCCAUGCCGCGUGGAUGAUGAAGGUCUUAGGAUUGUAAAAUCCUUUCACCGGUGAAGGUAAUGACUGUAGCCGGAGAAGAAGCCCCGGCUAACUUCGUGCCAGCAGCCGCGGUAAUAC
rnacentral:rRNA from 1 species